GGGCAGGUUGUGCGCUCGCUCGUGUAUGCAGCGCGAGGAGCCAGGCAAGUCUUCCUCCACGCGCUGCAAUGACAAGCUCGAGCAGCUCACACAGUGACAGCGAGAACGGAUAUCUUUCUCAAGAUUCUGCUCUUGUGAAACAGGCCCACAGACGAACUUUUCUCCACACGGACCCAAAAGAUCAUCUGUGAACACCCGCGGAACAAACGUGCUCCUUUAUAGGCUUAUGCAGAUCAUCUGUGGUGGUUUAUGACAAUGUGUUUUUUUUUGGUAAAGACUUAAAAAGAAUAAAUUACUCGCGAUCUCUCUUUGUAUUAGCCUAUGAAAUGUAACUGACGAGAACUAAAGGAUCUCUAUAUAUUUGCAUUUGCCUCACAACUGGUUCGAGGAUCCCAGGAAUCGUCAUGUGUUCUAAUAGAACAGCAGGGUAUUUAAAUUGCACUGCAGCAGGUUAAAGAAAUAGAAAACUAAAUAUGAUUUACGAUCAUCUAGUAGAAUGUUUAAAAGUAGGCUUUCAUUUAAGUAUAUUCUUCCAGAUGUUUAUAAGUAACCUGUAAUUUCAAAAGUUUAACAUAGGUUUAACAUAUGAACUAAUAGCCUAUGUGGUAAUUUUUCUCCAUGUUUUGAAAUGAAUAACAAUGCUGAAUAUGUGUUUCUAAGGAAGUAAACUGACAACCACGACACAGAACGGAUUACCUAAAUGCGCAUUAAUGCAAAAAUCAAUUCUUUAAAAAGGACAACUAUCGAUGUAGGCUCCACAGAUUCAGAAGUGCUCCAAAAGACACCAAAAUGUUAAUGUAAAUUUCAUUCAAAGAACUGGACAGUCAUCUAGCCUAAGAAACCCGCAGUUCCGUGUGAACAAUUCCAACAUUAGCCUAAUCUCUGUGAAGAAGAGCAUUUUUCUUGCAAUAAUUGAACGAAUAGAUCUAUAUUCGUUUGAUAAAGGACAUUGUGACUUCUGUAUUUCUAUAAAACAGCAACAUUUCUUUGAUACACAAGGACCAGUUUUAACCACUAGGCUAGCCUUUCAGAGGAUUAAAACAAUAGCAUGUUUUUAAGAGAAUGUUUUUCUUCUAACAAAAUGAUUGGCUUUUUUUUUUUUUUUUGGAAUCUGUUUAAAAAUUAAUAAGACUAUGUUCACUAUAAGUUAUAAUUUGACGUAGGCGAUUAAUAAGAAAUGAAUUGUAGCCGCUAUAAUAAACAGUCUGUCAACUUUAUCAGUGUUACAGGGAAUUGUAUUAAAGAUAACGCCAUUAAUAUAUAUAGCUAUAUAUACACACACACUACUUCGUUGUGCCUGUCUCUUAUUUGACGCGGAUUCAUGAAGAAAAUGUUAGCCACGUUUAAGCGAAGUAAACGUGUAGUAAAGUUGUGGAUGUGUGAUCUGAGCGCAAUCUAAAGAUAUAAAGCUUGUUUGUAUGCGUGUUCGUGGGAUAUUCGCCCAACUUUAUCUCCUCGGCGAUUCAGAGAGACUCAGCAUAACCGCAAUUAUUAUAAAACAGUGUCAAUACUCCUGGAUAAUGAGAUAUACUUCCCGCUCUCUCUGUGUUAUGUGAAAUCCGUGUGAUAUUCUACGCGGUUUUACGUUGUUAUAUUCGUUAUGAACACGGAAAUUACUUAAAGCAGAGGUAUCCAGAAUCAUUUACAUUCAGAGUCAAAUAUAAAAUAACAAAUAAUUUCUGGCAUUCCCGGACCAGCGUGAUUAUAUGUUUUGCAGCAUUAAAAAUAUCCCCAAAUCGAUUUAUAGUUGAUUUAUGGGAAGGGCAUUAAAACUUAUACAGACGUGACUUGAAAUGAAAAAGCAGAGAUGAAACAAAAGGUUAAUAGCUUUCUUUUUAACCGCUUGUUAAAAUGCAAGACAAUAAAAUGACAAAAAGCUUGAAACACU